GUUCCUGCGGCAGGGCGGGGUGGGAACUUUGACUGUGCCAGGACCCAGUUAAGAGUCCUCAGACCCAACCUGACCGGGUCCCCACCGCGCCUGGUCAGCAUGAGGAACAGGAGGGACAAUGACACGCCCGGGACCCUGCUUGUGCAUCCGCAUCCCAGGAACCUGGCUCAGCCUCAGCGCCCGAUCCAGACCUGGGUAGAAGAAGACAGUCAGUACCAGAUCCGCGCUACCUCUAAGGACCGCCAUCCUACCCUGGGGCCUCCUCCCAACUUGUGUGGGCACCUUUGGGGACGACUCGACCAUCAGGCAACACAAUGUCCUGGAUGCAGCCCCGGACCAGAUACCCCCCAUCCUCCUGACACUCUCACCGUGCCCAGAUGACCCAAAAACCAGUUCCGCUUAGGGGCCUGAGGGAAGCAUCUAAGGCGGGCGCAUUUCUCAUGGAAGGAGUAAGCCCAGGCCAGAAUUCUCGCCACGAGCCAAGAAGCCCCGAAGAGCAGCAGAAGAUGCCAUGAGGAGGCCAGCACUGGGCCCAGGCCCAGGCACGACAGGUUCCACGCCUGCAUCCUGCAGGGCAGAUGAACACAGAAACUGAUACUGCUUCUGGGGUCAAGACCAGAAGAAACUGACGACCUCCUCAGGACAUUGUGACUACUUGGAAGGACCUGAAUUUCACAGUCAGGAAGAACCAUCCUCUGAAAACACAUCUGUCUGAAGCCCUACCCAGGUUUUGGAGGCCCUAUAGACUUUGGUCUUGCCAACUCCAUAAGCACAGGUGCCAGUUCCUAAAAUUAACUUAUUAAGCUAUAAACAAGCAAGGAUUAUACCUAAUCAGGCCAUUAGGGAGGUUGAUGCAAGAGGACUAUGAACCAAGACCAACCUAGACUACGUAUGAUAAGAUAAAUGCAUGACAUAUAGCAUUAAUUUGAUCUUCAGAUAAAUAUACAUAGAUACGGAUGUAAGGGUCAUAAUAGUCAAUCAUCACUGUCAUCUUGACUGUAUCUAGAAUCACCAUGAAAGCAGACUUUUGGCAGUGCCCAUGAGAGUCAUUCUGAAAGGCUGAACCAAGAGCAAAGACCCACCCUGAAUGUAGACAACUUCAUCACCAGGACUGUCUCUCCUGGCUAAAUAAAAAUAAGGAAAUGAGCUGAAUACCACACACAAUCUCUUUGCUUCCUGACUUAAGAUAUCAUGUGAUCAGCUGCUGCAUGCUCUUGCCACAACGACUUUCCCACCAUGAUGGACUGGACCCUUCACCUGUGAGCCAGAGGAAUCUCUUCCUUCCUUAACUUACUUUUCCAGGUAUUUAAUCAAUGAGAAGAAAAAAAGUAACUAAUUCAGGAAAUUUGUAUGAGGAAUGAGGUCAUUGGUAUGAUAACCUGACCUUGUUAGGAGGAAUUUGGGGCUUAUUUGUUGAAGGAACAUUGGAAGAGUUUGAAAUUCUGUGUUAUAAAAUCCCUAGAUUACUUAUAGGCAGAACUGAAUGGGAUGUUCUGAUUGUGAUGGCUAACAUUAUAAGCUUAAAUUGCUUGAGAGAUCUAUGAAACAAAAGCACCUCUAACCUGGAAUCCCCACUUGCAUUCCUGGAAUGAUGGAGGCUGUUGUUCAUAUAAGAUAACAAACCACGUAUUUUUGCUUCUGUAAAUGAGUUUGGUUGUUCCAGUUGCACAGGAUGUGAUCACACGUAGACAGGAAGUACAUCAGGAUGUGUGCUUGCCUCUGGUUGCUCGGAGAUAGGAAGUGCAUAGCCUUGUGAGUUUUGCCUUUUUAAGUCCCUGAUUUAAUGUAAUGUAAUUUAAUGCAAUGAUUAAUGUAAUUCGGCACAAUACUCUGAGCAUGAGUCUCAGGUAUGGACCUGGCCAAUGUUUAAUAAAGCCUCUUAUUUCUUAAAAUUUAUUCAGGGUCAGACUGGUGAAUCUCUGAAUGACCACAUACCCAUAACACUGAUUAAUGUUCAGAGCAUCCACAAUGCUGACAGAAAUGUGGACAAUGAAGAUGUGAUUAGUAAAAUUCUGAGGGGAACAGGACUCCCUUGAGAACUGGGCCACAAGACAUCCAUUGGUUUCAUUCUGUUCAUGUUCUGAGAAUUUGAGUGAGGCUGGAUUCAAAAGUCAUGGACUGAUGUGAUUGGCCAAGGAAAUCUGAAAAUAGGCUGUACUCGGGCUGUGCCAUGGUGACCGCUCACCGCUCUUAUCCGGUCUCCUGUGAGAAAGCACAGUGAGCAGAACAGAAAGAUAUAAAAACAUGAGGUUUGCACAGAAGGAGCGUGAGAGUUUGAAGUGGCAGACAGGAGGGUGAGGAGAAAACAGCUGUAAUGCUCAGGAGAUUACCCGUUCAAGAGAAACCUCCUAUCCUGGCUGGGACAGUAGGGGAGGUGCCUUGAAGGCAAGACCCCAGCCACCGAUGGCUCCACUUGAAACAACAGAAAUACAUUUGAAAGGAGGAGUAUGGACCAAGAAUGCUGCUGACAAGGUUCCCCACUGCAAAGUGGUCACCCAGGGAAUUGUUUUCCUGGGACGCAGAGGUCAUUAGAGCUGGCACAAACCGUCAACAACAUCACAUGGUCCUGUUUUGUGAGCGUGAAAGAUAUGAGAUUGACUGGGGACUUGGAGGCUUGCAUCAGGCUACCAGAAAGCUGCUGAAGCCUGGUAACGUGCUUCAGGAAGGCCUUGAGAGGCUGGUGCAUAUGGCUGAGAAUUUGAAUACUUAGUUGAUAUGGAGACCCCAGUAUACUGGGAGAGGCCAGGAAAAUGAGAUGUCUCCUGUGGAACGAGUCUGGCACAAAGUGGAACUGAUUCAAAAAGAGAAACUGUUUGCUGCAAGAAGCCGCUGCAGGGACAAGGCUGCCAAAGGCUGCUGGAGCAGAGAUGCUUCUGUCAGGAGCCAAAGGCUGCUGGAGCAGAGAUGCUUCAAACCGGAGCCCCAGGUGCGGAUACACAGCAGCUGCGUUUUGUUGUUGUUCAUUUCAGUCUUGCGUUUUUACUUUUUCUUUUCUUAUUCUUCCUUUUUUUUUUUUUUUUUUUUUAAGAUUUAUUU